rnacentral:rRNA from 1 species
GUCUACAGCCACACCAAGCUGAACAUGCCCGAUCUCGUCUAAUCUCAGAGGCUAAUCAGGGUUGGGCCUAGUUAGUACUCGGAUGGGAGAGCAAAUAGUUUGUUAAAAUUU